rnacentral:rRNA from 1 species
UACGAAGGGGGCUAGCGUUGUUCGGAAUUACUGGGCGUAAAGCGCACGUAGGCGGACAUUUAAGUCAGGGGUGAAAUCCCGGGGCUCAACCCCGGAACUGCCUUUGAUACUGGGUGUCUUGAGUGUGGAAGAGGUCGGUGGAAUUGCGAGUGUAGAGGUGAAAUUCGUAGAUAUUCGCAGGAACACCAGUGGCGAAGGCGGCCGACUGGUCCACAACUGACGCUGAGGUGCGGAAGCGUGGGGAGCAAACAGG